rnacentral:rRNA from 1 species
AGAGUUUGAUCAUGGCUCAGAGCGAACGUUAGCGGCGGGCCUAACACAUGCAAGUCGAACGAUGAAGCACCUUCGGGUGUGGAUUAGUGGCGCACGGGUGAGUAACACGUAGGUAAUUUACCCUCGGGCGGGGGACAACUUUUCGAAAGAGAAGCUAAUACCGCAUAAGACCACAGCCUCUGCGGGGGCAGUGGGAAAAGAUGGCCUCUUCUUGAAAGCUAUCACCGGAGGAUGAGCCUGCGUCCCAUCAGCUUGUUGGUAAGGUAACGGCUUACCAAGGCGAAGACGGGUAGCUGGUCUGAGAGGAUGAUCAGCCACACUGGUACUGGAACACGGACCAGACUCCCACGGGAGGCAGCAGUGAGGAAUAUUGGGCAAUGGGCGCAAGCCUGACCCAGCCACGCCGCGUGAGUGAUGAAGGCCUUCGGGUUGUAAAGCUCUGUGGGGAGAGACGAAAACGUCGGUUCAUAAUACGCUCCGGCCUUGACGGUAUCUCUUUAGCAAGCACCGGCUAACUCUGUGCCAGCAGCCGCGGUAAUACAGAGGGUGCAAACGUUGCUCGGAAUUACUGGGCGUAAAGCGCGUGUAGGCGGAUUCGAAAGUCAGAUGUGAAAUCCCUGGGCUCAACCUAGGAACUGCAUUUGAAACUUCGUGUCUAGAGUGAUGGAGAGGAAAGCGGAAUUAUUGGUGUAGAGGUGAAAUUCGUAGAUAUCAAUAGGAACACCAGUGGCGAAGGCGGCUUUCUGGACAUUUACUGACGCUGAGACGCGAAAGCAUGGGGAGCAAACAGGAUUAGAUACCCUGGUAGUCCAUGCCGUAA